UUUUGGAUGAUGUUAUAUUCAUGCUAGAUACGCUUGUCGGGGUUCUGGGGAUUUCUCUCCUGUUACCUUUCAAUAACCAUUCAGUCACUAGGUGGAGCCAAGGACGUUGGUGAGGUGGGCACAGGUGUUUCCCAUCUGCAAUCUUCUCCGGAGCUUUAAAAGGGAGAUGCAGCCUGCACUUCUUCGCCUGAGUGUUUGCCUUUAGUGGUUUUCUGCACCUUGCCUUCUGGUUCUGGGGAAGGACACCGGUUCUGAUCCAGUCCUCAUUACCUUCCUGGCAUGCUCCUCGGUCCCAUUAAGGCUGGCUGUCUCCCAAGCUCCAGAUCUUCCAACAUCAGCAAAUGAACCUGCCCACUCUCCAACGUGAGUCCAGCAAACCACCGCACUCAACUUCACUAACCAUUCCUUGGUCUGAAGAUUUCCAAGAAAGUGACUGAAACUUACCUCAUCCAUUCGGAACCCCUGCUCGGAGAAAUCCACCUCCCCAGACUUCUACUGUUGCCUCCUCUGGCGGCUUCAAACUCCUCAAUCUCUGAUCCCCGCCGCUUUCAAGCCCUGACCCUGACAUCCUGUUCCAC